rnacentral:misc_RNA from 1 species
AAGUCGUAACAAGGUUUCCGUAGGUGAACCUGCGGAAGGAUCAUUAACGAAGAUCAUGGGUUAAAGACUUGAGGUUAUUUCUUUAUAGCUUCAUCUUUUUCCUGUUUCUCCUCACACACGUGCUCCUGCUGGGUUGGUUUUUUUAAACGACCUAUUGCAGAUUAAUUUUCUUCGAACGAUAGUUGAAAAUUUCUGAAAAUUAGGAAUGUACAUCUUGUCUGACAAAAUGUCUUCCGAAAUAAAAAAUCAAAACUAUGAACAACGGAUCUCUAGGCUCUU